UGUGCAAUGAGCCUUGCAAGGGCUUAAGAAAUUUUUUCUUUUGUCAGAUAAAGCCGGGGAAGGUUUUUCCGGUUUAUCCCGGAGGGCUUGUAGCUCAGUUGGUUAGAGCGCGCGCUUGAUAAGCGUGAGGUCGGAGGUUCAAGUCCUCCCAGGCCCACCAAUUUAUGAUGAUUUAAUAAGAUUUAAUAAAUUAUCUAUGUCUUUAUUUAUUUUCUUAUCAUCAUUACUUAUCGCGUGUUUGAUGCUUUAAGACGGUUAUUUAAAUUUUAAGACAGUUAUUUAAAUCAUUUUUUAAAUAGGUCUGUUUAUUUAAAUUUAUUUACACUUUUUACCCUUUUUAGGGGCCGUAGCUCAGCUGGGAGAGCACCUGCUUUGCAAGCAGGGGGUCGUCGG
rnacentral:misc_RNA from 1 species